rnacentral:rRNA from 1 species
CCUACGGGUGGCUGCAGUGAGGAAUAUUGGUCAAUGGACGAGAGUCUGAACCAGCCAAGUAGCGUGAAGGAUGACUGCCCUAUGGGUUGUAAACUUCUUUUGCACGGGGAUAACACCCUCCACUUGUGGAGGUCUGCAGGUACCGUGCGAAUAAGGGCCGGCUAAUUCCGUGCCAGCAGCCGCGGUAAUACGGAAGGCCCGAGCGUUAUCCGGAUUCAUUGGGCUUAAAGGGAGGGUAGGCGGGCGUUCAAGUCAGCUGUAAAAUCGCGCGGCUCAACCGCGCCCCGCAGUUGAAACUGGACGCCUUGAGUUCACAACAGGCAGGCGGAAUGCGUGGUGUAGCGGUGAAAUGCAUAGAUAUCACGAGGAACCCCGAUUGCGAAGGCAGCCUGCCGGGGUGCGACUGACGCUGAGGCUCGAAGGUGCGGGUAGCAAACAGGAUUAGAUACCCUAGUAGUC